CUUGCUCCCGGAUGUUAGCGGCGGACGGGUGAGUAACACGUGGGUAACCUGCCUGUAAGACUGGGAUAACUCCGGGAAACCGGAGCUAAUACCGGAUAGUUCCUUGAACCGCAUGGUUCAAGGAUGAAAGACGGUUUCGGCUGUCACUUACAGAUGGACCCGCGGCGCAUUAGCUAGUUGGUGAGGUAACGGCUCACCAAGGCAACGAUGCGUAGCCGACCUGAGAGGGUGAUCGGCCACACUGGGACUGAGACACGGCCCAGACUCCUACGGGAGGCAGCAGUAGGGAAUCUUCCGCAAUGGACGAAAGUCUGACGGAGCAACGCCGCGUGAGUGAUGAAGGUUUUCGGAUCGUAAAGCUCUGUUGUUAGGGAAGAACAAGUGCAAGAGUAACUGCUUGCACCUUGACGGUACCUAACCAGAAAGCCACGGCUAACUACGUGCCAGCAGCCGCGGUAAUACGUAGGUGGCAAGCGUUGUCCGGAAUUAUUGGGCGUAAAGGGCUCGCAGGCGGUUUCUUAAGUCUGAUGUGAAAGCCCCCGGCUCAACCGGGGAGGGUCAUUGGAAACUGGGAAACUUGAGUGCAGAAGAGGAGAGUGGAAUUCCACGUGUAGCGGUGAAAAUGCGUAGAGAUGUGGAGGAACACCAGUGGCGAAG
rnacentral:rRNA from 1 species